AGCUACACUGUUUGUAUUCGGUCAUGUUUCCGGUCACCUUGCCCUGGUUAAAAGCAGGGGUUCGCGCUUUCCGUUUCGAGCGAAUGCGAAAGACAAAACACUGUGAAUAUUGUACUUGGUGGGACAGUGGGGGUCAUUGAAGGAACACUGAAGAGUACGACCUGAGGGAACCAACAUAAUCUAAUUGGUGAAAAAGAGAGUGGCUCAAGGGGAGACUGGGAGUGUAUUGGAAAGGGAGGGAGGUAUGGCACUGGCUGAGUGAAAACACAUUCCUGAAGCAUGUGGAUGAAUGGAUAGGACAAGGAGGGAGAGGCACGUGCAGCACGGCCACAGCUUACUCCUCUGGACAAACUAAAUAGUGCUAAACACCAUUACUGCUGGAUAACGCAGGAACACUGACUCCAUCUCCUCUGAGAGGGAUUGGAGGGAAUAAUACACUACUAUAAUAACACCUUCUAGGAGAGAUGGCAGCUAAGUGGAUUCUUUUGUCAACACAAUCCAGCCUGAAAGUAGUUCCUCUGGAUUUUUCAAUGCCAGAUUGAGUUAAGUUUAGCAGCCUAAAAAAGGACUUGAGCCCUGGGAACCGAGGCUGAGGUGAGCAUGAGAGGAGCCGAGCCACAAGUGCACUCUUUAUCUGGAUUUAGCAACAAUGUGCGGAGGACCUUUUCUGACAUUCCAAUGUUCAGUGGUGAAAGAAGGGACCUGUGUUAUCAGUAGAACACGUAGUAUUUACUGGACUCUCAAAUCUCCUGUCAAAUCAUUUUACUUAAGACUCUGAAGAGGAGACGUUAACCACCAAAAAUGAAGAGGAGAUUUUACUUUCCAAAGUUCAACAUUCUAUAUUACUUUUUGACAUUGCUCAUAUUCCUGUGGCUGUUCAAUUGAUUGGGAUGUUUGCUUCAUUCUAUGCCUCAGUGAUUGUGAGUUUUUGAUGUGUCCGGCACUUUACAAUGCCUCUUCUUGUAGAAUGAAAUUCUUUCCUUUGGAAUGCUCAUUUAUCUGAUUAGGUCACAUAGUUGAGCUCAGGGACCACUGUUGAGCAUUGACAAGGAAAGUCUGCCCCCUCAUUUCUUGAGUCAUCAGAUCAAGGAGCCUUAUCUGUUUACCUAAAGAGAGGGAGAGGAGGAGGGAGGGAGAGAAUAGACAUAACACGGAGUAACAGCCAGGAGAGAGUUUACAAAACAAAAAGAGGUAGAUAAAAGUGGGCGAGGACACGCACUGGUCUCCACAGCGCCGAGCUGUCACAAGCCAUCUGGGUCCUCUCAUUAUCCCCCAUCAAACAGCCCGACUGGCCAGAAAGAAAAGAGUGGAGGAAAAGGAGGGAGAGAUCUGGACGGUGAGAGAGACGGAGAUCUGGAAGGAGAAAGAGAGAGAGACAUUUGGAUGGUGAGAGAGAGAGAAAUAUCUGGGUGGGGAAAAAGAGAGAGAGAGAUCUGUACAGUGAGAGAGAGAGAGAGAGAGAGAGAUCUGGACAGUGAGAGAGAGAGAGAUCUGGACAGUGAGAGAGGGAGAGAGAGAGAGAGAGAGAGAUCUGGACGGUGAGAGAGAUCUGGACGGAGAAAGAACAAAUGUGAAGAGAAAAGCGAAGAUGCCGGAGAACAAGGCGACAGUGUACAGGACCAGCAGCUACCUGUCCCACUCUGCCUACAGGAAGAUCAAGCGGGUUCUGAGCUUCAGGAGGCGCGUGUUUGGACAGCGGCUGGAGGAGACGGUUCUGUAUGAGCGGCGUUACGGGGUACACAUGGCACCGCUGGUGGUGGAGCAGUGUGUGGACUUCAUCCGGGAGCGGGGUCUUCUGGAGGUGGGGCUGUUCCGCCAGCCAGGCCAGGCCACGCUGGUUAAAGAGUUGCAGGAUGCCUUCGACGCUGGGGAGAAGCCCUCCUUUGACAGCAGCACAGACGUGCACACCGUGGCGUCGCUCCUGAAGCUGUAUCUGCGGGAGCUGCCAGAGCCACUGGUGCCCUUCUCCAGAUACCAGGACUUCCUGGUGUGUGGCAAGAAGAUCUCCUCUGAGAGGAAGCAGAGUUUGACAGAACUACGGCAUCUUCUUCAUCAACUUCCAGUGGCUAACUUCAACCUGCUCAACUACAUCUGCCAGUUUUUGAACGAAGUCCAGUCCUAUUCUAACAGCAACAAGAUGAGCACCCAGAACCUGGCUACUGUUUUUGGCCCAAACAUCCUACGACCCAAAGCUGAAGAUCCAGAGAGUAUCAUUGGAGGGGCAGCCGUGGUGCAGCAGCUUAUGUCCGAGCUGAUUAGGGAACACCUGUGCCUUUUCUCCAGGGAGGGGGGAGACAUAGAGGCCCCUGGCUCUUCACGCCCUGACUCUUACCCAUGUCAGAGAUGGAAAGGAGACCCAUUCGAGGGGGCGCACAUCCAGCCAACAGCCCAAACCCAGUCGCAUGAUUACAGUCUGGGCAUAACAGCCGAGCACCUCCCCCAACAACAGCUAGCACACCAUCCUUCCCCUUGCUCCCGCCAGCUCUCCCUGCCUCUGAUCCCUAAGAGGAGAGGUUCGGCCAAAAACCCAGAUGAAACCAGCUUAGCCACACGGCUGUCCAUCACAGACCACCAGCAGCAGCCAGCUGAGGUGUUCUCUCCAGUGAGUCUUGCUUCUGGGCCUCUGUACCACAGACACACUCUGUCCCAGUCAGAGUCCCAGCCCACUGAGACCGCAGACAGCCCCCACCCUGCCUCCCAACUCACAGAAUCUGCAUCCACAGUGACGCUACAGGCAGCCCCAGAACCCAGCAGCAUGCUGCUCAUUGGCUGGAGGGGCCCAGAGGAUCCCAGCUGGGCUGCAGAACAGGGGACUACUGGCACCAGUGGUAGCAGUGAGGCUCAGGACAGUACCCUGUCUGUCUAUGACAACCUGGACACACUACAACGCAUGGAGGAGGUGGCUGCGGAUGGUGGUGGGGGCAGCCCUGCUGGCCCAGUGGAGGUGGAGGUGGGCACGACCAGCAUGGUAGACACCAGAAGCUCCUGGUCUUCCUGUGAGAUUCUGUCCCUGGAAGACAAUGGGUGUGGUGUGGUCAGAACCAGCCCAGGACGGGGGUCCACUAGGUUCCCCUCCUUCAGGACUGACCCAGGAGACGAGGACCUCCCUCCUAACUCCCCAGCCUCCUCCUCUGCUCUCACUGAUGCCCCCCUGAGCACGGGCAGCUCGGAGGUCUUCCUGCCCUCUGCUCCUCCGGACCUCCGCGUCCCCCCGGCCUCCCAGGCCAUGCACUGGCUCUUGACUGGCCUCAGACAACAGAUGGCCAGGCAGAGGGCUGAGUUCGAGGCCAAGAUCCAGAGGUAAUAGAACUGUGAAUAAACCAUACCAAUGCAACAGCAGUCCUCGUCAACAGUCUAUAUACAUGCUACACGGAGUGUACAAAACAUUAUGAACACCUGCUCUUUCCAUGACAUCGACUGACCAGGUGAAAGCUAUGAUCCCUUAUUGAUGUCACUUGUUAAAUCCACUUCAAAUCAGUGUAGAUGAAGGGGAGGAGACAGGUUAAAGAAGGAUCUCUAAGCCUCAAGACAAUAAAGACAUUGAUUGUGUAUGUGUGCAAUUCAGAGGGUGAAUGGGCAAGAUAAAAGAUUAAGAUGCCUUUGAACAGGGUAUGGUAGUAUGUGCCCCGGGUUUGUGUGUGUCAAGAACGGCAACGCUGCUGGCUUUUCAAGCAACAGUUUCCUGUGUUUAUCAAGAAUGGUCCAUCACCAUCCAAAGGACAUCCAGCCAACUUGACACAACUGUGGGAAGCAUUGGAGACACCAUGGGCCAGCAUCCCUGUGAAAAGCUUUUGACACCUUAUAGAGUCCAUGCUCUGAUGAAUUCUACUCAAGAAUAGGAAGGUUGGAGAUGCGUAACGAGGCCCUCCAGGGGGAGGUGGUGGGACUGCGGACCAGCCUGGAGCAGCAGCGCCGCUGGCACAGUGUGGCCGAGAUCAAGAUCCGCAACGUGGAGCGUGCCAGGGCCGAUGCCGACCGCCGCA